CGUGCAGGUGGUUUGGUAAGUUGGGUGUUAAAUCUUUCGGCUCAACCGAGAGGUGUCGCUCAAGACUCCCAGACUGGAGGACGGUAGAGGUAGGCAGAAUUCCGGGUGUAGUGGUGAAAUGCGUAGAUAUCCGGAGGAAUACCAGUGGCGAAGGCGGCCUACUGGACCGUUCCUGACACUCAGACGCGAAAGCUAGGGGAGCAAACGGGAUUAGAAACCCCGGUAGUCCUAGCUGUAAACGAUGUGAACUUGGUGUUGGUGGGGUAAAACCUGCCGGUGCCGUAGCUAACGCGAUAAGUUCACCGCCUGGGGACUACGGCCGCAAGGUUAAA
rnacentral:rRNA from 1 species